AGAGUUUGAUCCUGGCUCAGGACGAACGCUGGCGGCGUGCCUAACACAUGCAAGUCGAACGGAGAUUUUAGCAAUAAAAUCUUAGUGGCGAACGGGUGAGUAACGCGUAGACAACCUACCUUCUAGAUGGGGACAACACUGCGAAAGUGGUGCUAAUACCGAAUGUUGUAUUUUAGAUGCAUGUUUGAAAUACUAAAGGU
rnacentral:rRNA from 1 species